AUGGCCGACAUGGGUCAAAGUGUAGUAUCUGUCCUUAUCAGCUUAAUAUCUGAUACAGGUUCUAUUUGGACCCAAGCACUAUGUUAAACUUAUUCUUGCAAGACGGUGGAGUGAUUGAAGCCUGCUUCACAUCUGCCGCGGGUCGGCCCGCUAUUGCAGCAUCUUCGGGAUCGGCCCACGGUUU